rnacentral:rRNA from 1 species
GUGGGGAAUAUUGCACAAUGGGGGAAACCCUGAUGCAGCGACGCCGCGUGAGGGAAGAAGGUUUUCGGAUUGUAAACCUCUGUCUUCGGGGACGAAGCAAGUGACGGUACUCGAGGAGGAAGCCACGGCUAACUACGUGCCAGCAGCCGCGGUAAAACGUAGGUGGCAAGCGUUGUCCGGAAUUACUGGGUGUAAAGGGAGCGCAGGCGGAGCUGUAAGUUGGGCGUCAAAUCUACGGGCUUAACCCGUAACCGCGCUCAAAACUGCGGCUCUUGAGUAGUGCAGAGGCAGGCGGAAUUCCCGGUGUAGCGGUGGAAUGCGUAGAUAUCGGGAGGAACACCAGUGGCGAAGGCGGCCUGCUGGGCACCAACUGACGCUGAGGCUCGAAAGCAUGGGUAGCAAACAGGA